CGUGCUUUUACUUUGUUUCUCUUUCAGUCUUUUAUGUUACUUCCUGUCUGCCAUUGUUUCCUUCCUGUGUCUAGUCCUUGUGCUUCCUCACGGCAAAUGUUAAUGAAGAGGCUCUUAAGUCACUGUCAAAAGAAGAUCUGCGGGACCUUUUCCCAGGGCCCGAACAUUUUCUCAGGAGAAAAUCUAUUUGGGAGGUGGUCCACCCUGUGUUUGAACUCUUCAAGCGAUUACACAAAAGAUUGCAGAACAUCAGGACCCCAAAGAAACCCCAAGGGCCUAAACCAAAAGGGGGGAAAAAGAGACACCUUCAUUUUGAAGAAAGCGAUGAAGAUGAUUUUGCCUCCAGCUCAUCCACCGUUAUUAUGUCGCCAAGUUCCAGCAGCCACAUCAGCAGCUCCCCAGAAAGGGAAGGGGUUCACCAACCCAUAAGCAGCACACCAAUGAAGCAGGCGGAUGUUGUUGAAGGCCAGCAGGAUGGCAGGAUACUUCAGGCACGACACUACAAGACUCUUCAACAGUUAUGUCAAAAACCCAGACAGAAUAAGGAUGCCAUGAAACAGAUCCUUGACCUCGAGUUUGAGGGAAGAAGGGCAUUUAUUGAUUCAGAUACGCUGAAGGAAUGUGACCGGCCGGCAAAAAUGUCGACGUUUACCCAUGCUUCAAAGAAAUCGACCAUGUAAGUGCCCUCACAUUUCUACAUAGUGUAUGAAGUUGAACAGUGAGAGAUGAAAGGAGGGAUGCAACAACAUUGACCCAUACUGUGAUAUUGUAUCAAACCAGUCACACAGUCAUAUUUGAAAUAUAAGUUACUACUUUAAGGUCUGUUCUUUGUGUUUGUGCGUGCGUGAAUGUUUUCUUUUUUUUUUUUAAGGUCCUAGAGGAACUUAAACGAAUUUUGGACAACAGCAACCCAAACUAUGUGGCAGAGAUGCGACAGCGGUUGCUUGAAUUUAAAACUAAAGCAACUUUUUAUGGGGUGUUCAGGAAAGUCAUGAAACCGCCAAUGAAACUUUCUGCCGGAAAGGCCUGCAGUUCAGAAUAUAUAUUCAAUUCAAUUUAUUGUUUAAAGUGUAGUAUCACCAUGAACUUGGUCUCAGAAUACUGAUUCACAAUUGAAUAAAUGAAAUAAGAUUAUAGUUACAUAGGCAAAUCAUUAAUCAUCACUAGGUGGCGGGCCAAAGUCUGGGUUACUGCAUAUUAAGACGCUGCAAUAGGUGCACUCGCAACAACUAGGCCUACAUGGAGAAUGGAUAGGUCUACUACAAAUAACUAAUGAUAAUAAACCAUGUGAAUGAGCCCAUUGGUUGUCUGUUUGAAUAAUUUAAUUAUUUUAACGAACUCUGUCUUAUGCCCUGUCAAUAUAGCCUUGCCUAUUGUGAAUAAUAGCAAUGACGAC
ensembl:lncRNA